UACGUAGGGUGCAAGCGUUAAUCGGAAUUACUGGGCGUAAAGCGUGCGCAGGCGGCUUUGCAAGACAGAUGUGAAAUCCCCGGGCUCAACCUGGGAACUGCAUUUGUGACUGCAUGGCUAGAGUACGGUAGAGGGGGAUGGAAUUCCGCGUGUAGCAGUGAAAUGCGUAGAUAUGCGGAGGAACACCGAUGGCGAAGGCAAUCCCCAGGACCUGUACUGACGCUCAUGCACGAAAGCGUGGGGAGCAAACAGG
rnacentral:rRNA from 1 species